AACUAGUUUCCUUUUGUCUCCGACUUCAUUGUCUACAGUAUUUCUUUUACUUCAACAAUUGCUCUGUGGUCCAACUGCACACACUGCCACAACUACCCAAAACCAAGAGAUAAGAUGCACUAUUUCCUCUGACGUUAUCACCCUAUAUAUACCAUUAUACCACGCACUACAUAACCCUCUUCUGCACUCUCCUUUAAGCAGGCCAGUAUUAUAUGAAAUCUGAAACCAGGCUGGUCAAAAACUGUGAUCACAGUAUCACCACUUAGUUUUAGCUACAAGGGUAGUGUUGUGUUGUGUUGGCCUUAAAGGACUCAGAGAGUGCCAGGUCCCUAGUUUAUCUCUAUCUAGACCAGGAUUUAAGCUGCUAGGUCAACUUGGUAGGCUGCAUUUUCUUUGGCCAGAAGUGGAUCUUGGAAUCUCAGCUCACGGACAGAAACAAAAACAAGGUAAGCCAUUGAAUAUUUUCUCACUAGUCUUAACCCGUAAUCAUAUCUCAGUUAAUGGGCCACUACAAGGGAAUAAUAAUAUGCUGAUUAGGAAGUUCAGACUCAGCUAGGCCUCAUGUUCUAAGAGUUAUAAAUUCUUACUUACGACUAUGAUUCAUCAGUAUUUUGAAAGUCUAUAGAUGACACGGAUGGUAAGGUAAUUUGAACGAAGUCUAUAAACUGAACGCUGAAAUUUUGUAAAUUGUGACUUGCUAACUGUACCGAUCAUGAUCCUUUGAGAAAAAUCUUAAGAGAAACGAUUGCAUGCAAUUUUCAACUUCAACAUUCAUGGGCAAAGAGAUUUAGGCCAAAAUUCAGUGAAGCAUGUUUUAACACUUGCACCAACUGAAGCACUUUUACCCACCCUUUGUCUUGAAACCUCAAAAGCACAAGAAACAAGGCAUUUAGCUUUGAGGGACGCUGUGGAAAGNAAGGAAUAUACCCUUAACGUACUCACACUGCUACAUAUUCUUAGAAACAAGCUAUGACAACAUGGAAAAGAAAAUUACUUGAGCUAAUUAACACUCCAACCGCAAUACGGAAUCACUUGCUGGUUUACAUAACAGAACAUGCAUUUGGGUUCUCGUCGCUGAAAAUCUCAGGGUCAUAAGCGUAGUCGAUGUAGUUUUUGGCUGGCCAGUAUUCACUUCGCUUGAUUUCAGUUUUGUUAUCUUCUUCUUCUUCUUCUUCUUGUUCCUUGUUUUCUUCUUCAACUUUUUUCUCUUCCUUUUUCUCCUCUUCUUUCUUUUCUUCUACCUUCUUUUCUUCCUCCUUCACAAUAGAGGCUUGCUUUUUGGUCCUCUUAUAUACAUUGUCAACAAGCUUCGCAGGGUCGAUCACACCUUUUACUAUGACUUGAUCAUUUGCCAAAUCUGUUUCCACUGAUUCUACUCCUGCACAUGCACGCCAUUACUAUGUCUCAAAUCACGUACCAAUCAUUCACUCCUCUAUUCAUGGAAUCAUUGAAGGAUGAAGCACAAAAAGAUAACCGUUUAUUUCUGUAAAAUUUAUUUGGUACAUCUAUUUUGUUUUCCCAAGAUGAAUAAUAAUAAAACAAAAAAAGCUUUAGAUUAAUCACUCUUAAGCACUUAUAUGAGCUGCAAUGGCAUUUUAAGAGACAAUACGCAAUUUGGUACCAAGUUUCAGCAUUGAGAUAGAUAGCUCCCUCCACUCUAAAAAUAACUGUUAUAUGUUGAGAGUGUUACAUUACUGUUAAUUCGGAGCUUUCAAAAGGAUUCUUAAGCCCAUACUUGGAAAAGAAAAAGCAGACCUGUAAUUAAAACUAUUACGUAUGCGUGCACAUUCCUAAGGGGGUUGUAAUGGCUUCAUUGCAGUUUGGAAAGGCAUUAUUAAAAAUUAUAAAUAUAAACUAAACACGAACUUUGUAACCAUAAAUAAAGUCCACAACAACACAUUCUCCUUUCUCAGUACCAUCUUUAUUUUUUGAUAAAAGAAUUGCAGCUUUACUCAACAACGUGGGCUCACUCUGUACUAAAGGCGAUUUCAUGAGAUUCUACCGAUUAAAAAUGUGUUAAAGAAGAAAGUAUAAAAAAGAAUGUUAUAAGCAGUCUUCUUGUGAUUAUAAGAUUCCAUGGUAAACAAACUUGAGCGAAGAGAAAGGCGUAAAUCAAAUUAAAGGGGCAAUUAAACUCUUUCUUUUCAAUUAUACAAUGCAGUUUUGUUGGGAUUCUCGUAAAUCAUUAGUAAUUAGUAAUCAUGGUAACAAAUAAUGAUUGAAAGGCACAGUUCCAUGUAGGACCUGGGAUUUAGUUCAGCUUAAUUGAUCCAAAACGUGUUUGUUGUACUUGUUAGUGCACGAGUGAAAUAGUAUGAAGCAGAAAUAAAGAAAAAGAGAAAGAGAGAAAGAUAGAUAUGAAUCUUUGCACCUUUAAUCUUACGGAUUCGCUUCUGUAUAGCUUGAGCACACGCUUCACAAUGCAUUCGAAUUUUUAGCACAACUGUUACCGCAGAAGGAGGCUGACCGGCCAUUCAAACAACCACAGCACAGGAAUUAUAUUAUCAACAAAAUAACUUUGGUCAAUCAGAACAUCUAAAGCAGCGUCAAUUUGAACCAGAUAAAGCAUCAGUAAAACUUAAAAUUGGAUGCAAAUAAAAAUUAAUAGUUCUUCUACUGAGUUCUUUACUUUUUCAUGAAUUUGUCGCAAUACGAAAGAGGCACCUGUAUGGUCCCACUAUCUUACAAUGUCUCAAUUCAGGUACGGGUCAUGGCAUGGGGUUUCCAACUUCAUCUCAAGUUUUAUUAGAAAAAACAAACCAAAAAAGCAAACUUUAGCAUAAAACUGGUGUACUCAAGUUAGAAGUAUUAACCCAAUAUACUAGACUGCAUAUUAUUAAGAAUUUGUGAAUAGGAGUAUUUCCUUUUUGCCACCCUAUUAUCUGACUAGCUGACUAGUAUUUGAAUGUCGUCAUCAUCAUCCAUGGUAUUUGGGAGGCUGUGGUUUUAGCUUUUAACCUCCAUACAGCGGACGUCACCAUGGUUGUGUGGUGUGUGCGUUGUGUGGAAGUGAAUGUCCUGAAAGUGGGACACGGUAAAAUCAGGUGAGUGUACCCACCCGUGACCCCAUUUUGCAGCAAAGCAGCAUGUCAUGUUGCAACUUGCAAAAAGUGAGUGGGGUCAAACCCUCUCAUUUGUCACCGCCGUUCACCUCGUUACGUGUGCCUAUCCAAGGGGCAUCACUUUGUUUCGUUACUUUCAUGUCAGCACUCACCUGGAAUGGAUCGCAAAACAAUACACCAAAAAUACUAAAAACUACCCUCUCUCUCACAACAACACUGCAAGCCAACCACUUUCCUGUUAAUCUCUUUUCUAAGCAAAAAAACUUAACAAGACUUUGGUUUUUGUUUUUGCAGGUCCUAAGACUUAGUUCUUGUUUUAAAGUUUUUUACCGAAUGAUUGACUCUGCUGCGGUAUCUUACUGAAUAUUUCAUCACAUUUGCAUCAUAGCUAGAAAAGAAGUUUCAAAGUUGAAUGAUUUUAGAUUUACCUCGUCUUUUUUCUCUUCUUUAGGUGCUUCUUUGAUUUCUUCUUUUUUCUCCUCUGGAGCUUUUGGCAACGGUGAAAUAAGCUCCACUUUCUUACCACUUUUCUUUUGUAGCCUCUCAAGCACCUUUAUGGGGUCUGCUGCCAUUCCUUUCACUACCACUUUGCUUGUCCUGCUAUCCGCAGUCACAUCUUCCACUCCUGUUUCACACUCCCAAAAAACAGAUUAUUAGAUUAGAAACGUUAACCCCGUUUCAUCAAUCUUUUCCACCACCUAAAACAACUUUACCUUUGUUAACUACGAAUGCAAUUAUGAUCUUUUGUCUCUACAUGAAUAAUGCACGUCUAAGACAAAAUUAUCUCAUCAUUAUUUUCUGAAAUUCAAAAGCAAUCAUGUGGAUACCGAAUUGAUGCCUCUAACAAGGGGGAAAAAGAUAGGGAAACUAAGAACACUAACUUAAGCUAAACUCAUAAGCUAACUAUAUACCUAUAGCAGCGUUCCCUAUGGGUGUAUAUUCACAAACAUAAUACAUACAUCAAAGGUGUAGGGAAAUGAAAUGACCUUGGAAUCCUUUCAAUGCUUUUGCAACUUUCCUUGCACAGGCCUCACAGUGCAUGUCGACUUUGAGAACUAUCUCCGGUGGUGGCUCCUCCUUGCUUUCAUCCUUCUUCUCUUCUACCUUCUUUUCCUCUUUUACUUCUUCUUUAUUUCCUUCUUCCUUCUUUUCCUUUGCAAACACAGCAUUUAAAUAAGACAACAAAGAAAACAAAAAGAAACAAUUGAGAAAAGAUGAUAAAAGCUAUGAAUAACUGAAAGGAACGAGAGCAAAGAGAGAGAUUGAUUUAAAACAUGCGUAUGUUUAUGUGUAUUUGUGUGAGAGUUUGAGUGUAGAAGAGAAAGAAAACUCUUACUUCACCCAUGUCUGUGACAGUAGACAAUGCCUUCUGCUUGAGAGAGAGUUUACUUGUUAACGCAGAUCUUAAUGUUAUGUGGUUUCAAUGUAGAAAAGAACUCUUGUUUUGUUUAUGCACUCUCACACACACACUUUCUCUCUCCCUGCCUCUCUGUCCAUGGCAGCAAUGUUGGACUCAGGAAAACAUUUAACGUGUAGGGAUUCUGCAAAUCUGACGUGGAUGCUUUACUGCAUACUUAAAAAAAAAAACAUUUUUAUUACUGUCUGCUAUUUUUGGUUAGAUUAGGGUGAAUUACUAUGUAGGUAGUGUGCAUGGCUGAAUCGACAUUCUAGGCCAGUUGAUAUAAUAAUGUUUUGAUGACAGUAAAAUAUUUUUACUGGUUACUUGUCGGUAAAAUACUUAUCACAAUAUAUAUAGUCUAUAAAAACAGAAAAUUUUCUUGAUUCUUCCAUUUUCCAAGUUAUUGCAGACCAAUGGUUGUGGCUAUUACCUAGACCAUCAUCACCAUUGACUGGUCGUACCUCCAUCUAAUCUUCCUCCCUAUUUCAUGCCAUCUCAACGAUCUAUGUUUGAGAAAUUAACCAAACAACUAGUGUAUUUCUGUACCACUGAGACAUUUUAAAUUUAGUUUUUGGUUAAUUCAUGUGAAAAAGGAAAGUAUUGUAGGAAAUGACAGUUUGGCCGUUGGUUUGAAUGAACAAAGGACAGUCUUGUCUUUAACCUGAGACCAGCAAUGGUAUUAAAACCAAUAUAUGAUGAGUUUUAUAAUCUAUUAAAUCUAUAGUCAUGUCUUACAAAACUAAUCAAUCAGUAGACAUUAUUUUAACGAAUAACUGUCUCAUGUUUUCAUACACUGUAAAAACCAACAUAUUUGACAAACUUUGUCCAUUUAGGCCUUAUUUACUUUAAUGUUUUUAGAGAAGAAUAACUAAGAGGAUUUGAACAUUUUUUUUUUAUUUGAAUAGGUUUAGGUUUCUUCACUUGAGUGGAUUUGAAGGAGAGUAUUGAAAGGAUUUGAUGAUAAAUAUUUUUAUUGUUUAUUUGAAUAAAUUUGGAGGUAAGUGAGAGUGAAUUUGGAAAUAAAAUUUGUGAGAAUUAGAGUAGAAUUUAAUUUAUAUGACAGAUUAAAAAAAUUUACUUCCAAAUUCACUCUCACUUACCUCUAAAUUUAUUCAAUUAAACAAUAAAAAUAUAUAUCAUCAAAUCCUCUUAAUUACUCUCCCUCAGAUUCACUUAGUGAAAGGACCUUAGAAAUAAGUGAAAGAAGAUUUGGAAGUAAAAUUUUCUCCCUUAGAUUCACUCAAGUGAACAAGGCCUUAAAGAUAAGUGAAACAAGAUUUAGAAGUAAAAUUUGUGAGAAUUAGUGUAGGAUUUAAUUUAUAUGACAAAUUAAAAAAAAUUAUUUUCAAAUUCACCCUCACUUACCUCCAAAUCUAUUCAAAUAAACAAAAAAAAAAUUAUCAUCAAAUCCUCUCAAUUACUCUCAUUCAAACCCACUAAAAUGAACACAUUAAGAUGGUAUUAAUGAUUGUAUGUGUAUAUAGUUUCUGUAUUUAAGUUUAGGUAAUAUUUAUUUUCUGACUUUAUAAUACCAUUUUUUUAUUCUAAACUCGGUUUUGAAAUAAGAUUAACAAUAAACUCAGUUUAAAAUCAUACUCGGUUAAAAAGCAAGUCGAUUUCUUUUCUUUUUUUUCAAAUUAACUUUCUGAACGUACUUUUGAGUCUCCAAACUGAAAAUUAAACAUAUGCUAAUUCUAACUUUGCUCGACUAAAAUUGUUGCUACCAAACAAUAAAUAUAAAAAUUAUAUCUAACCAAAUAGGUUACUUUUAGUGUCUAACAUUGACCAUCCAUAAUAGUAUAUAACUUUUUACCUAAACUUCUUAAUUGUUUACAGCCUAGAAUAUAGGAAAAGAACAAAAACUGUAAAAUAUAAGUAAAUAAUGUACUUAAUAACAUAAAGUGUUAUAAGAGUUUCAACUUAUCCUCUUAACUUUUGAGUCAUAUUUGAGUAUCAUUCAAUGAAUUGUUAUCUUUAAUUAUCUUGCAUAAUGAUUUAUGUUUUAGGAUUUGUUUUCAAAUUUUGAUGUUAUAAUGAAAUAUUGUUUAAAUGAUAUAUGUAGAUAAUAUCGAAGAAAACUCUAGAUAACAAUUAAAAGUAAUUGUUAUAUAUAUAUAUAUAUAUAUAUAUAUAUAUAUAUGUAUAUAUUAUUAUGAAUGAAGUUAUUUUAUAAAUGGGAAUUGCGAAGUGACAGACAAUUUUUAACGCAUGAUAUUUUUUACUAGAUCUUCUGAUUUAGAAAUGAGAAGUACAUGUAAUAUUUCAUUUAAUAAAUGAAAUUAGUGUAAAAUAUUUAUUAAUGUACUCUGCACUUCCUGCCAAAAUGUUCAACCAAAUCUAAUAUCACUGUCACCCACUCAACUUUUAUACUGUCAUCUUCUCUUUGGUGGAAGCAUCUUAUGCGUUGCUAUUUUUAAACUAAAAAUCAGAACAAAAUUAUAUUUUUUUAAAACUAAACUAAUUGGUAGUAUUUUUUUUCUUUCAAAAAAUGAUCUUACAACUAAAAUUCAUUUGAAUGUGGCCUUAUUUUUUUUUUUCUAUGUGAAGAUUAAAUUAUUUAUUGUUUAAAAAUGACAUUUUACUAAGUAUAUUCUUUUUUAGAAAACAUAUAUUUGUUAUCUUUUAUCAUGGAUAUUUAAAUUCCAUCACAAUGAAUAAUGCACACAAAAUUUUAUAUCUUUUUGAAUAUUUAAUUUAUAUUUUACAUUUUUCUAAAUUUUAAAAUACAUGUGUAAUUCAUAAAUAUUUGAUAAUUAUUGUAAAAUUCGUCUUUCUUUUUAUGGGCCAGAAAAAAACAUCUUAGGUGUUACUGCACCUCUCCAAAUGCUUCAUGCACCUCCCCAAACAAUUUUUAAUUACAAAAUCACCCUUUUUACACAUGUUCCCUACACCUCCCCAACUAUUUUUUAAUUCUAAAAAUAUUAUUUUUACUUUUAUCAUUUAUCUUUUUUAAAUUUUUCUUAAAAUCCUAAUAUCUCUUAAUACCUCUGAAAAGUAAAAUUGUUGCCAGUUUUUAUGCAAGAAAGCAAAUGCUCCACAAGAUUCUGACGUUGUGGACUUGGGUAUAAGCUAUGAUGCAAGAAUUUUCCAAAAUGUUUAAUCCAAUAAUUAUAGGCUUAGAAAAGUAUUGCUCCCACUAUAGUUUGUAUUACAAUUAGCGUUUUACGUCUUAUUAGUCGCAGAUUUGCAAAGCUUUUAUGAAAAGAAUAUUGUGGCUCAAUAAAAGAAGAGAGGUGGAAUAAAAAAUGGAGCUAAUAAAAGUAGUAAGCAUGUUGCCUGAUUUUGGUUUUAAACCUUCCUUAUCCUUUUAAUAUUUUGCAGGAAUGCCAAGGGAAAAAUAGCUGCUCCAUCAAAAUCUUAAAUACUGUAUACGGAAGUGAUCCAUGUCCGGGUGUUGAGAAAACGUCAUUUGUAGAAGCAAGAUGGACAUCGUUAUUAGCCUCUCAAUGGAUAUUGACAUCCGUUUACUCUUUAACGGAUGUGAAUAUCUGUUGGCAGAUUUCGAAAUCCGUUUAAGUGUUAUUUUUAGUGACAAAAAGGGAAUGGGAAGGUGCAGGAGCUAUGUGGGAGGUGUAGAGAGUAACACCCAAACAAUCUUGUGUCUAGAUGAAACAAAUUACAGAACUGACGGCCCGGAUUUCUAGGGUUGGGCCAUUAAAAUUGAUUGGGGAAAUGUAAUGUUUUAUCGGCUAUUACUUGUAGCACUUCCCCAAUUUAUCUGCGCACUUCAUUUCCAUAAUUUAUAAAAGUAAUUUGGAUUUUUUUUUAAACUGUUUGUUUUAUCAUUUCCAUAAUUUAUAAAAAUAUGCAAAUUAAAGUCUGU
rnacentral:lncRNA from 1 species